rnacentral:rRNA from 2 species
AAAUUGAAGAGUUUGAUCAUGGCUCAGAUUGAACGCUGGCGGCAGGCCUAACACAUGCAAGUCGAACGGUAACAGGAAACAGCUUGCUGUUUCGCUGACGAGUGGCGGACGGGUGAGUAAUGUCUGGGAAACUGCCUGAUGGAGGGGGAUAACUACUGGAAACGGUAGCUAAUACCGCAUAAUGUCGCAAGACUAAAGAGGGGGACCUUCGGGCCUCUUGCCAUCGGAUGUGCCCAGAUGGGAUUAGCUAGUAGGUGGGGUAACGGCUCACCUAGGCGACGAUCC